UAAUAUUUGCUUAUUUUAAAUAAUUAAAAAUAUAUUUGAUGGUAAAAUAAAUGAAUUUUAAUAAGAAUUUUAACUGAAAAGGAAUUUAAAUUAAAUAGAGGAUAAAUUGUUUUACCUUUUGUAUAAGGGUUAUAUAAAUAAUAUUAAAAGGUUUAUGUCCCGAAUUAAUUUGAUUUAUUUUUUNUUAAUAUUAUGUAAAACAAUAAAAUAGAAGGAAAUUAUGGAAGUGAAAUGCUAUAACGAAAAUUAGGAUAUCUGGUUAACUUUUUAUAAAAUUAAAUUUUUAAAAAUUAGUUUAGAAAGUGGAGCGAGAAAAGUUGCUUUUCAAUAUAUAUGUAAAAUAUUUUUUAAAGUCUUAGAUUUGAAAGUUGUUAAAGUUAAUUGUACUAUAACUUUUUAUAUUUAAUUUAAGAAAAGUUAUUGGCAAAAAGUUUUGUUAUAGAAUGGGUUUAGUUUUUAUAAUAAUGUAAUGAAUUAGUAGAAAUUAAAAUUUGUAAAAGUUAAAAUAUUAAGGAAAAUGGGAUUAAGAAAAAAAUUUUAAUUAAGAAUUAGGCAAAAAUAUUUUUGCCUGUUUAUCAAAAACAUGGUUUUAUGAAUAAAUAUAAGGUCAAGCCUGCCCACUGAUAAAUUAAAUGGCUGCAGAAUAUUUACUGUGCGAAGGUAGCAUAAUAAUUUGCCUUUUAAUUGGAGGCUGGAAUGAAAGGUUAAACAAUAAUAUACUUUUUUAUUAAGAAAAAUUGAAUUUUAUUUUAUAAUGAAAAAUUUAUAAAAAUAUAAAAAGACGAGAAGACCCUAUUAAGUUUUAUAAUAAAUUGUUUGUUAAAAUUAUAAUGAAAAUAAUUAUUUAUUUAUUUGGGGCAAUUUAAAUUAAUAUUUAUAACUAUAAAAGGAGAUCCAGUAAUACUGAUCUUAUGACUAAAUUACUAUAGGGAUAACAGCGUUAUUUUGUUUUAGAGUUCAUAUCAGAAACAAAGAUUACGACCUCGAUGUUGGAUUGGGAUAAAUAUUUUGCGGAGGGGCAAAGUUAAUUAAGUCUGUUCGACUUUUAAUUUCCUACAUGAUUUGAGUUCAAAUCGGCGUGAGCCAGAUUGGUUUCUAUCUUUUAUUAGUUUAAUAAUUUUUUAGUACGAAAGGAUUUUUAAUUUUUAAGGAUUUAAUUUUAAAUA
rnacentral:rRNA from 1 species